GACGAACGCUGGCGGCGUGCUUAACACAUGCAAGUCGAACGGAAAGGCCCUGCUUUUGUGGGGUGCUCGAGUGGCGAACGGGUGAGUAACACGUGAGUAACCUGCCCUUGACUUUGGGAUAACUUCAGGAAACUGGGGCUAAUACCGGAUAGGAGCUCCUGCUGCAUGGUGGGGGUUGGAAAGUUUCGGCGGUUGGGGAUGGACUCGCGGCUUAUCAGCUUGUUGGUGGGGUAGUGGCUUACCAAGGCUUUGACGGGUAGCCGGCCUGAGAGGGUGACCGGUCACAUUGGGACUGAGAUACGGCCCAGACUCCUACGGGAGGCAGCAGUGGGGAAUAUUGCACAAUGGGCGGAAGCCUGAUGCAGCAACGCCGCGUGCGGGAUGACGGCCUUCGGGUUGUAAACCGCUUUCGCCUGUGACGAAGCGUGAGUAACGGUAAUGGGUAAAGAAGCACCGGCUAACUACGUG
rnacentral:rRNA from 1 species